rnacentral:rRNA from 1 species
AAAGGCCGCGGUAUAAUGACCGUGCGAAGGUAGCAUAAUAAUUAGUCUUUUAAUUGAAGACUGGAAUGAAGGGUCGGACAAAAAGUAAUCUGUCUCUAUUUUAAAAAUUGAAUUUNNCUUUUAAGUGAAAAGGCUUAGAUAAUCUUAGAGGACGACAAGACCCUAUAAAACUUUAUAAACUAAAGAUAAAUUCACAAUUUAUAUUUUUAACGAAGAUUAUCUUUAUUUUUAUUUCGUUGGGGCGACGAGAGUAUAAACUUAACUGCUUUCAUUUUACACAACCAUGCUUGAAUCUGAUGACCCUUUUUAAAGAUCCAAAGAAAAAGUUACUUUAGGGAUAACAGCGUAAUUUUUUUUAAGAGUCCUUAUCGACAAAAAAGUUUGCGACCUCGAUGUUGAAUUAAAAUUCCACUGUAGUGCAGCAAUUA